GAUUAAGUACUAAAUAGANNNCCCGACANUAGUUGAUUACANUGAACAAGUUACUGUAGGGAUAACAGCGUAAUAUAUAUCUAAAGUUCUUAUUUUGAUAUAAGUUUGCGACCUCGAUGUUGAAUUNAUAUUACUUUCAAGCGCAAGAGCCUGAAAAGUAGGUCUGUUCGACCCCUAAAUAUAUACAUGAUUUGAGUUCAAAUCGGUGUAAACCAGAUUGGUUUCUAUCUAUUNUUAUUUGUGUCUUAGUACGAAAGGACCUGAAACAAUAUUAUAUAAUNAUUUAUAUGGCAGAAAAAUGCUUUAGAUUUAGGAUCUAAUUAUAAUAGAUUAUUAUACUCUAUUUAACUUGCCUAAUCUCUGUUAUUAGAAUCCUUAUCGCAGUAGCUUUUUAUACCCUCCUAGAGCGAAAAAUUCUAAGCUACAUCCAA
rnacentral:rRNA from 1 species